CCCGCCACUAUACCAGUCUGGUGUGUCUGGGUAUAAUCCAGUGGUGAGCUUAUAAAGACCUCCUCUUAGGAAACAGAACGUGUCUGUGUGUGUGACUGGUUCUGUGCCGAAAGAUGGAGUACAUUG